rnacentral:lncRNA from 1 species
AUGGAUAACAUUGCUCCUUUUUGUGGCAAUUACUGCCACAGUUUAUCGUCACGAUGUCGCUCCGUGCUGCGCAGUCUCUUAGUCCUGAUGGCAGCGCUUCUUAGCACAGAUGUAAGCGCUCCUUCAGUUCCUGGCUGGGUAACGGCUGAGCGAUGCAGCAAUUACAUUUUUGUUGAAAAGGUACUUCGAGUAAAUAAGACGGGAGUAAGAGCUGAAAAUGUCUGCCCGCUUCUGUUGAGUCGAUUUCAUGAACUUAAAUCACAGAGAACCUCUCUCUUUGCUCAUAUAACAAAGUUAACUAAGUUAAUGCAGCUCAGUCAUCGAUAUAUCAAUAUCUCUCACUCCUUCUCUCUCGUUUGUCACUAGAAUCAAUCGAAUAAGGCGAUAUUUUUUAAAUUACACUUUGGAUUUCAGUGUUUGAGUGAACGGACACCUGAUGGUCUUCCAUCGAAAAGAUAAAAGCGAGAGCUCUCUUUCACACAUACGCACCUGCUUGUAAAUAUACGGUCACGUGACAUAUGUGCUUCGCACAAGAGCAUCUGACUGCAGCCACUGGGGAACGCCACCUGUGUAAUUGUGUAACUUUAUUAGGAGCGUCCUCCUGAAAUGCGCCCACAACAUUGAGAGUAACAUCCUCCUCUCUGCUUCUUGAUGCUCUCUGGUCGCCAUGGUAAUGCGUAAAUAGUUCUUUCAAAAUAAGACACACGACUACAACACGGGAAAAGACUCAGGGAAACCAACUUAUCGAUAAAAACCCUGAAAACCAUACAUUUCACACCCGAGCCUCAACUCUCGCGGCCCGGUACCAAACGACUCAGCGCCGCGCGCUCCCGCGGACGGCAAUGAGUUUCUGGCAGACAAUCACUUUUUGGCACAACACCGGCAAAGUUAUGUGACAUUAGCGAUGUUUGUACUUUCAGCGUUUACUUUGUUUUAAAGCCUUUACUUUAUACGCCGUUCGAUAGUUGACCUUAAUCUCACAGAGAAUGUGAUGAUUUUAAGGAUAAUUAAAGUCAGUCAUAUAUCCACAAACACAACAAGCUGAAAGUCAGUGAUGCUGCUCGGUUUGCAGUCCUGAAUAUGACGGCACAAGCAGGAUUCACUGCACUGUUAAUGUUAGCUAUGUUAUAUUGCUGCCUCUGUUCGGUGGUGUCGAGCCAAACGGACUUUAACGUGUGUUUGAACGAGCUGACGGUUCAGUCGUUAAGCUGAAAGAAAGACGCUUUAAUCACAGGAGUCACACAUGUGUCCACUGUACCAUCUGGGAACUCUUCUUGUUUAGCACUCGUAAUAACACAAACACUAAAUCCUCCUUCUCUUGUGCUGUUUUGUAGCAGUGUAUACACCUGAGACUGUCACCUGUCUGCCUGUCCUGCACUCUCUCUCUGUUUCUUUCUCUCUGAUUGUGGAAUAAAAGUAUGAACAUGUAUUUAUAAGUUACACUUGUGUUUGAAUCCUGCAGCUUAUCACACAUUUGAUUUCCAUGUGUGACAACUGCAAGUGUCCAGAGUGAGGACAGACUGAGGGACCCACUGCUGCACAUCAUCUGUGAGGCUUUGCACCCCUGAUGAUCCACCAGGACAAACUCAGCAGUGUGUGAGGAAGAGGAGGAGGAAAAGCCAGCAGCAGCUGACAGAUGGAGAGAAUAGACAGACUGUUCCCUGUUUGUGAAGGACUGCUAGAAAGGUUUAACAUAACUAAUGUCUGUCCUGAAUCAGUCUUAUUAGGUAAUGUUCAAAUAAUUUGAUCAUUCCAGUGUUUUCAGUGUGGGAGAAAGUACUCAGGGCCUUCAAGUUACACACUAUGAAAGGCAGCAACAAGUUUAAUGUUCAGAAACCUAAAGUGUGAGAAUGGAGCUAAAAGUAAAUGUUUGUUUCAGUUCUAUGAAGCUUUGAGUAUUUUGGAUUUGUUGUGUUUGUGGCAUCAUAUUGCUGUAAUUGUUUAUAUGCUUUAUAUAUUCUGAGGUAAGUUGAUCCAUAGUGUUACAUCAUAUUCUAUAAGGAUGUUAUGUGUUUGUAUUCUUUCUGCCCAGUUUGACCCAUCUAGCAGAAGUCAGCCUGUUUAAGGCUCUGAUAUCUAUUCUGUAUGACUUAAAGCAGUUAUGAUAUGGUCUGAUUUUCUCACCCAAUAAAGGAAUAUUUAAUAUAUCAGUCUACUCUUCAUUCUAUCAGAAACAGUUAUCACAGCUCGUAUAUUUUCUUUUUACACAUAUAAGCAUUGAGCCAAAUUUAGUAAUGCCAACAUAUUGAAAGAACAAUGUUUGUCUCUUAUAUAUCAUACAUCUAUAUAUACACUGUCAGAGAUACUUGUCUUUGAGUGAAGAUUUAAGGUGAUAGGAAAUAUAAAUAACUGCUACUUGAAUCUUUACUGAAGCUCAGUAUUUGACACGGAGUUCAAACUCACUGCUGUGAGAUGACUUUAGUCUCAUGAACAACAUUAGCUAAUUGUUAUUUACUAGCUAAUCUUAAAAUGACUGUUCAGUACAGAAAUGAAGCCCAACAAUCAUGUUUUACAGUCCUGUGGUCUCAGCCUCAGAUACUUAUCAAAUCACACAAAGCUCGUGUAGAAACAAAUGAACAAAAUAUGUUCUCCUUCAUUUCUGUCAAAGAAAGCUGUAUGACAUGUUUCCGUUUUUCCUUUUUGCAGCGUUUUUCUUUUUGCAGGUGUUUUUCUUUUUGCAGCGUUUUUCUUUUUGCAAGUGUUUUCUGAAGUUGCAGUCCGUUUGCCUCUCAGGGCCACCGUAGUAUAUAGCAUUUGUAUUCUAUUUUAUUCUAUUGGGUAGAUUAUUCUAUUUUAUUCUAUUGUAUAGUAUUUUUAUUUUAUUUUAUUGCAUUCCAGUGUUUUCUAAUUUCUGUCAUAGCUGUGUGCAGGCAGGAAGAGAGGAAGGACCCAAAAUGCAGGACUCGCGGAAACGAAAGUGAAAUCAGAAUAACCAGCUUUAUUGCAGGGGUGACUGGAACAGAAAACUAACUAUACUGGAAAAUAACAAAACUGGCAGACAGGCAAACAGAACACACAGGGAGUUAAGAGGGUGAACAGACGUUAACGACGCGACACUGAGUAGGGGAAGACACGGACACUAAAUACAAGAGGUGAACGGAGCGAAGAGGAAACAGCUGGGAGACACGGCUGACGCUGAUUACACUGACGAGACAGGGAGAGCACAAAGCUGAACGCACUGACAUAGGACCCCGACCUACAAAAUAAAACAGGAAGCACACGACAGACAGAGACACAGACGCAGACUCAUAAGCAGGCAUAAUGACAUCAUGGACAGACAGGGGGGACAUGGAAGGAGGGACCAGGACAGGCACAGAACAGAAACCUAACAAAAUGGCGAAUAAUAAUGAAAUACCUAAUCAGAAUAACAAAAGCAUAAAGAAACACAAAACACUGAGUCAGCAGGCUCAGGACCAUGACAAUUUCUGCUACAUGACUUUGCACUUUUGCUGUAACGAAACAAAUUUCCCACCUGUGGGACUAAUAAAGGUCAUCUUAUCUUAUCUUAUCUUAUGGCUCCCAUUUGCCUGUGGGAUGUAGCUGUCUUCUAUGCAAUGUUGCCUUCUGGUAGUUCGAAACCCUCAGUUCUAACUACCUUCCAUCUCUUAGUUAUCAUCCAACUACAUUUCUCAAGUCUGAACAACAUUUCGAUGUCAUUGCUGUAUAUCCUGGUGGUAUGGAUCAGGGAAUUGAUGCCUCGUUCACUCUUGGCCAUACAGCUUGAUGUCAUCCAUGUACAGGAGGUGGCUGACAACUGCUCCAUUCCGUAGUCGGUAUCCGCAACCAGUCUUGUCAAUGAUCUCACUGAGGGGUUCAGGUCUAUGCAGAAAAGCAGUGAGGACAGAGCAUCUCCUUGGUAGAUUCCACACUUGAUGGUGACUUGUGCUAUGGGCUUGAAGUUGGCCUCU